UGCAAGUCGAACGGCAGCGCGGGGCAACCUGGCGGCGAGUGGCGAACGGGUGAGUAAUAUAUCGGAACGUACCCUGGAGUGGGGGAUAACGUAGCGAAAGUUACGCUAAUACCGCAUACGAUCUMAGGAUGAAAGCAGGGGACCGCAAGGCCUUGUGCUCCUGGAGCGGCCGAUAUCUGAUUAGCUAGUUGGUGGGGUAAAGGCCCACCAAGGCAUCGAUCAGUAGCUGGUCUGAGAGGACGACCAGCCACACUGGAACUGAGACACGGUCCAGACUCCUACGGGAGGCAGCAGUGGGGAAUUUUGGACAAUGGGCGCAAGCCUGAUCCAGCAAUGCCGCGUGAGUGAAGAAGGCCUUCGGGUUGUAAAGCUCUUUUGUCAGGGAAGAAACGGUGRRGGCUAAUAUCCYUUGCUAAUGACGGUACCUGAAGAAUAAGCACCGGCUAACUACGUGCCAGCAGCCGCGGUAAUACGUAGGGUGCAAGCGUUAAUCGGAAUUACUGGGCGUAAAGCGUGCGCAGGCGGUUUUGUAAGUUUGUCGUGAAAUCCCCGGGCUCAACCUGGGAAUGGCGAUGAAGACUGCAAGGCUAGAGUUUGGCAGAGGGGGGUAGAAUUCCACGUGUAGCAGUGAAAUGCGUAGAUAUGUGGAGGAACACCGAUGGCGAAGGCAGCCCCCUGGGUCAAAACUGACGCUCAUGCACGAAAGCGUGGGGAGCAAACAGGAUUAGAUACCCUGGUAGUCCACGCCCUAAACGAUGUCUACUAGUUGUCGGGUCUUAAUUGACUUGGUAACGCAGCUAACGCGUGAAGUAGACCGCCUGGGGAGUACGGUCGCAAGAUUAAAACUCAAAGGAAUUGACGGGGACCCGCACAAGCGGUGGAUGAUGUGGAUUAAUUCGAUGCAACGCGAAAAACCUUACCUACCCUUGACAUG
rnacentral:rRNA from 1 species